rnacentral:lncRNA from 1 species
UCAAAGCACAGACACUUCCAUGAUGUCUCAGCAGCUGUAUGAGACACGGAUCUCCACGCUGGAAGAGCGCCUUCAGGCCGAACAAGCAGCACGUGAGGCCGAACGAGAGGCUUCUCGAGCAGAACGUGAGGCUCUCGAGCAGCGUAUGGCUCAAUUCGAGGAGUUCAUGAGGCGGUCGGGUCAGCUACCUUGAGCAGCACUUCAUGUUUUGGAAC